rfam:Nicotiana sylvestris Nsyl_contig27568, whole genome shotgun sequence.
UGGCAACAGAUUAUUGUAUUUGACUGUAUUCAUGGCGUGAAACAGGAGAUUACAAUAUUUUUAAACGGAAAGUGAAUCAAUUAACAUAAUAGACUCCU